GUUGCAGCCACUUGGCCCCACCCCAUUGUUGUGACAGCCCUGAUUGUACUUAUACACUGCAUCUGAACAGGGAACAGUCUGCCACAUUAAUGUAUUUUUAAGUGACUUGUUUGUAAUACAUGAAUUUGUUUUUUACAGAUGUCAAAGUCUCAACCUCAUGCUGCCCUCCCCCAUCCUCCUAAACCUGUGGAUACAAAUGCAGAUUUCCUUAAUGUUCAAUGGUGCGUGUUCUUCUAAUGGCCGCCUUCCCACUGGAGGUUUUGAUCCACAGCAAUUUAAAAGGAGGACAGAGCAAAACGGACAUCGGCGCAGAGUGAAGAACUGCCCUUGAUAAGGACACUAUGACAGCCAUAUAUAUGGCGGUAAGGAAGGGGUUUCCCAGCGUGUCCAGAAGGGCUUUGAGGAUUGCCGUGAAAGCUGGGGGAACUGAGACUGCUGGAAAAGGAAAAGAAAUUACAUUUUAAGUAUGCUGACUUAUGUUCAUACAAUCACACACACAUAUACAC